ACUCCACCAACCCACACGACGACUCUGAACACUCCACGCCAACUUCCCAGCCUGCAAAGUCGCUCACCGGCAUCGAGAGGAGGUCGCGAAUCGCCCGAGGAAAUGAAAAUGUGGAUUAAUGUACUGGUCAUCUGCAUUGUGGCCGCGGCCAGUGCCCAGCAGCAGCCGCUGCCCGUGGAGGAGCUGCAGGGCCCGGGGCCCCUAAACGAGGGGGUCAGCUCGCCGGCGAAGGAGAGCGCGGAGCCCCAGGGGCAGUAUCCCUACCUGGAGGUGCCCUCCUCCCAGUGGCCCUUCUACCCCGUGCUGCCGCAGUUCGAAAGUGAGUCAUCAUCAUCGUCAUCAU